CCUACGGGGGGCAGCAGUGGGGAAUAUUUCACAAUGGCGGAAACCCUGAUGCAGCAACACCGCGUGAAGGUAGACGGUUUUCGGAUUGUAAACUUCUGUUCUUAGUGAAGAAUAAUGACGGUAGCUAAGGAGCAAGCCACAGCUAACUACGUGCCAGCAGCCGCGGUAAUACGUAGGUGGCAAGCCUUGUCCGGAAUUACCGGGUGUAAAGUGAGCGCAGGCGGGAAGCCAAGUCAGCUGUGAAAACUACGGGCUUAACUUGUAGACUGCAGUUGAAACUGGUUUUCUUGAGUGAAGUAGAGGUUGGCGGAAUUCCGAGUGUAGCGGUGAAAUGCUUAGAUAUCACGAAGAACUCCGAUUGCGAAGGCAGCCUACUAAGCUGCCACUGACAUUGAUGCUCGAAAGUGUGGGUAUCAAACAGGAUUAGAUACCCGAGUAGUC
rnacentral:rRNA from 1 species